UAUUAACUUAUAUUAUUAAUUAUGGGUGUGUGCAUAUGUAUAAUUAUUUUAUGGUGUGAUAUAUAUAAAUAUACACACACACACAUCACCAAGACGUGUUGUUUAGAUAUAAGUAUAUAUGCUAUUUCUAUAUUUUUAGACCAGCCCAUUAUUUGUUUUAUUUAUUUAUUUAUUUUUUAAAACCCAAGUCAAUUUUAAAAGCCCAAGACCAAUUGAUUUAUACAUCUGUUAGAUGUCGUUUAACGACAAACCAAUCUCAAAACCCUCGUCUGCUACCUUCAUCGUCUUCCUCCCCUAUUUUUCUCUUUGCAAGCACCACUCCACCUAAACCAAAGGAUCAGUACCACUAUGAUAGACUACCCGGAUAAGAAUAAUCUUAGAAGCUGGAGGUGUCGAUGUUGCUGAAGAGCCUUGGAGAGUCAGUUACCAGAGUUGUGAGUCAUCAAAGCUAGAAGCAUGUGGUGGAGACCUAGAACCAGGAGGUGGCAGUCCUUAUCAAAACAUAGAGGAAGCCGAUAGUGUUGGCAUCCAAAGCUACUCUCUGUUGUGCUUAUCUAGAAUUAAAAUCUGACCUCUUUGCCAUACACUAUAAAUAUCCAGGUCUGUUCUAUUUUCUUUAUUGCGUUCCCCUAUAUUUGUUUACAAAAGAAGGAGUGAGGGAAGGAGAAAUUUUGAGACUAAGGAGGAACCUGAGAAGUAUAAACUAAUUUCCAAAACAAGGUACUGAACAUGAAGUUUAAUUUUCCCUUUUGAAGAGCUUGUGAUUAAUAUGAAGGAAGUGUGAGACUUGUUUUGUUUAGUUUCCUAGAAUAAGAGCAAAGGCUGCCAGUUUGUAGUUUGCCUUUGAAGUAUAGGUUUGAAAUUUCUGUGGGAAUAAUGAACUAUCAAGAAAGUUUGUACUAUAAUUGUGUUUGUUGUAUUAUAAAGUUCUUCUUUUUUUUCCAUAA